UUUAGGUUCAGAUGCCAGGUUGAGACAGAGACUGUCAGAGAAGUGUUUUAGGUUCAGAUGCCAGGUUGAGACUCAGAGACUGUUAGAGAGGUUCAGAUGCCAGGUUGAGACUCAGAGACAGUCAGAGAGGUUCAGAUGCCAGGUUGAGACUCAGAGACUGUCAGAGAGGUUCAGAUGCCAGGUUGAGACUCAGAGACUGUCAGAGAGGUUCAGAUGCCAGGUUGAGACUCAGAGACUGUCAGAGAGGUUCAGAUGCCAGGUUGAGACUGAGAGACUGUCAGAGAGGUUCAGAUGCCAGGUUGAGACUCAGAGACUGUCAGAGAGGCUGAGAGACUGUCAGAGAGGUUCAGAUGCCAGGUUGAGACUCAGAGACUGUCAGAGAGGCUGAGAGACUGUCAGAGAGGUUCAGAUGCCAGGUUGAGACUCAGAGACUGUCAGAGAG
ensembl:lncRNA